rnacentral:tRNA from 1 species
GCGCAUGUCCCGUCGGCUGAUCAGGCGCUUGCCUGCGGAGCAAGAGGCAGCAAGUUCGAUUCUUGCCAGGCGCACCA